UCCUACGGGAGGCAGCAGUGAGGAAUAUUGCGCAAUGGGGGCAACCCUGACGCAGCAACGCCGCGUGUACGAAGACGCAGUUAUCUGUGUAAAGUACUGUUAAUCGGGAAGAAGGAGUUUGUUAGCAGCAGACUUUGACUGUACCGGUAGAGGAAGCUCCGGCUAACUCCGUGCCAGCAGCCGCGGUAAUACGGGGGGAGCGAGCGUUGUCCGGAAUCAUUGGGCGUAAAGGGCAUUCAGGUGGGUCUUUAAGUCAGUUGUUAAAUAUUACGGCUUAACCGUAUUAUGCAAUUGAUACUGGAGAUCUUGAGUUUGAGAGGGGACAGUGGAAUACCUAGUGUAGCGGUGGAAUGCGUAGAUAUUAAGUAGAACACCGGCGGCGAAGGCGACUGUCUGGCUCAUAACUGACACUGAAGUGCGAAAGCAUGGGUAGCAAACAGGAUUAG
rnacentral:rRNA from 1 species